rnacentral:rRNA from 1 species
GAUGAACGCUGGCGGCGUGCCUAAUACAUGCAAGUCGAGCGAACGGACGAGAAGCUUGCUUCUCUGAUGUUAGCUGCGGACGGGUGAGUAACACGUGGAUAACCUACCUAUAAGACUGGGAUAACUUCGGGAAACCGUAGCUAAUACCGGAUAAUAUUUUGAACCGCAUGGUUCAAAAGUGAAAGACGGUCUUGCUGUCACUUAUAGAUGGAUCCGCGCUGCAUUAGCUAGUUGGUAAGGUAACGGCUUACCAAGGCAACGAUGCAUAGCCGACCUGAGAGGGUGAUCGGCAACACUGGACCUGAGACACGGUCCAGACUCCUACGGGAGGCAGCAGUAGGGAAUCUUCCGCAAUGGGCGAAAGCCUGACGGAGCAACGCCGCGUGAGUGAUGAAGGUCUUCGGAUCGUAAAACUCUGUUAUUAGGGAAGAACAUAUGUGUAAGUAACUGUGCACAUCUUGACGGUACCUAAUCAGAAAGCCACGGCUAACUACGUG